UGCUGGGUGAUAUUGACAGAAGUGUUCUUCCUCCACUUCUGAAGUGUCCCCGG
rnacentral:pre_miRNA from 1 species